GCUGUGGUUACGAGGCUUCUCUGUGCAGCGGGAAGCAUGGCAGCUACUUGACAGAAGAAUGAUCAUCUGUUGGAAAGGCAAACCAGGACUGAGGAGGCAUUGAUACCGCGUGGAUGUCUGUAGCACUGGAGGUGGCUGUGUAGUCCAGGCUGAGCUUGAACUCACUGUGCAGCCCACACUGGCCUCAAACUCACAGUGAUCUUCCUGCCUCAGCCUCCUGAGUGCUGGGAUUACA
rnacentral:lncRNA from 1 species